UUCGCUCAACAUAUUAACAAAACUACCACUAUUGUCGCUUGCUUAACAAUUUCGUCUCCUUCAGUUUCACGUCUUUCCUUUUCUGCCUAUCCAUACAAAUCAAAAUAAAAAACUAUACAUAUUUCCAGUUGAAUUGCGUUUUAUGAGCAUUGGUCUUUGAUUGAGCUGAGACAUUUGUGUGGCAACAUGUUGUGGCAUAUUACU
rnacentral:lncRNA from 1 species